CGGGUUACCGAAUUCAGAUAAACUCCGAAUGCCAUGUACUUAUACUCGGGAGUCAGACUGCGAGUGAUAAGAUCCGUAGUCGAAAGGGAAACAGCCCAGACCACCAGUUAAGGUCCCCAAAUAUAUGUUAAGUGGAAAAGGAUGUGGGGUUGCUUAGACAACCAGGAUGUUGGCUUAGAAGCAGCCACCAUUGAAAGAGUGCGUAAUAGCUCACUGGUCGAGUGACCCCGCGCCGAAAAUGUACCGGGGCUAAACAUAUUACCGAAACUGUGGAUGAACCUCUUUAGAGGUUCGUGGUAGGAGAGCGUUCUAAGGGCGGUGAAGUCAGACCGGAAGGACUGGUGGAGCGCUUAGAAGUGAGAAUGCCGGUAUGAGUAGCGAAAGAAGGGUGAGAAUCCCUUCCACCGAAUAUCUAAGGUUUCCUGAGGAAGGCUCGUCCGCUCAGGGUUAGUCGGGACCUAAGCCGAGGCCGAUAGGCGUAGGCGAUGGACAACAGGUAGAGAUUCCUGUACCAGUGCUAAUUGUUUAACCGAUGGGGUGACACAGAAGGAUAGGGAAUCGCACGAAUGGAAAUGUGCGUCCAAGCAGUGAGUGUGAGAAGUAGGCAAAUCCGCUUCUCGCGAAGCAUGAGCUGUGAUGGGGAAGGAAAUUAAGUACGGAAGUUCCUGAUUUCACGCUGUCAAGAAAAGCCUCUAGGAAGAGUAGUACUGCCCGUACCGCAAACCGACACAGGUAGAUGAGGAGAGAAUCCUAAGGUGAGCGAGAGAACUCUCGUUAAGGAACUCGGCAAAAUGACCCCGUAACUUCGGGAGAAGGGGUGCUCUAUUAGGGUGCAAGCCCGAGAGAGCCGCAGUGAAUAGGCCCAGGCGACUGUUUAGCAAAAACACAGGUCUCUGCAAAACCGUAAGGUGACGUAUAGGGGCUGACGCCUGCCCGGUGCUGGAAGGUUAAGAGGAGUGCUUAGCUUCGGCGAAGGUACGAAUUGAAGCCCCAGUAAACGGCGGCCGUAACUAUAACGGUCCUAAGGUAGCGAAAUUCCUUGUCGGGUAAGUUCCGACCCGCACGAAAGGCGCAACGAUCUGGGCACUGUCUCAACGAGAGACUCGGUGAAAUUAUAGUACCUGUGAAGAUGCAGGUUACCCGCGACAGGACGGAAAGACCCCGUGGAGCUUUACUGCAACCUGAUAUGGAAUGUUUGUACCGCUUGUACAGGAUAGGUAGGAGCCGAAGAGACGUGUGCGCUAGCAUACGAGGAGGCAAUGGUGGGAUACUACCCUGGCUGUAUGACCAUUCUAACCCGCCACGCUUAGCGCGUGGGGAGACAGUGUCAGGUGGGCAGUUUGACUGGGGCGGUCGCCUCCUAAAGAGUAACGGAGGCGCCCAAAGGUUCCCUCAGAAUGGAUGGAAAUCAUUCGCAGAGUGUAAAGGCACAAGGGAGCUUGACUGCGAGACUGACAAGUCGAGCAGGGACGAAAGUCGGGCUUAGUGAUCCGGUGGUUCCGCAUGGAAGGGCCAUCGCUCAACGGAUAAAAGCUACCCCGGGGAUAACAGGCUUAUCUCCCCCAAGAGUCCACAUCGACGGGGAGGUUUGGCACCUCGAUGUCGGCUCGUCGCAUCCUGGGGCUGUAGUCGGUCCCAAGGGUUGGGCUGUUCGCCCAUUAAAGCGGCACGCGAGCUGGGUUCAGAACGUCGUGAGACAGUUCGGUCCCUAUCCGUCGCG
rnacentral:rRNA from 1 species